GAACGCUGGCGGCAGCCUAACAAUGCAAGUCGAACGGUAACAUUUCUAGCUUGCUAGAAGAUGACGAGUGGCGGACGGGUGAGUAAUGCUUGGGAACUUGCCUUUGCGAGGGGGAUAACAGUUGGAAACGACUGCUAAUACCGCAUAAUGUCUUCGGACCAAACGGGGCUUCGGCUCCGGCGCAAAGAGAGGCCCAAGUGAGAUUAGCUAGUUGGUAAGGUAACGGCUUACCAAGGCGACGAUCUCUAGCUGUUCUGAGAGGAAGAUCAGCCACACUGGGACUGAGACACGGCCCAGACUCCUACGGGAGGCAGCAGUGGGGAAUAUUGCACAAUGGGGGAAACCCUGAUGCAGCCAUGCCGCGUGUGUGAAGAAGGCCUUCGGGUUGUAAAGCACUCUCAGUUGUGAGGAAAAGUUAGUAGUUAAUACCUGCUAGCCGUGACGUUAACAACAGAAGAAGCACCGGCUAACUCCGUGCCAGCAGCCGCGGUAAUACGGAGGGUGCGAGCGUUAAUCGGAAUUACUGGGCGUAAAGCGCACGCAGGCGGUUUGUUAAGCUAGAUGUGAAAGCCCCCGGGCUC
rnacentral:rRNA from 1 species